GGACGACGAGACGCCAAUUAGUAAUAGAUUACACAAAAUAAUGUUCACUAAGUAAUUAAUAUAUAUUUAUUUCAGUCUUUGUCAACAAUAGCAACAGUCCUACGAUUCCAGCGGACGGUGUGUUUCUCCUGUCCGUUUGUCUGAUGGUACUUAAACGCAACUGAAGGCACUUUCAAGAGAGUUGACAGUGACAGAUACACUUUCAUUGUCUCACAUUGUCCUGUUUAUGAACUAUACUGAUCCGACAGUGGACAUGAUGACACCUGUGACACUUUGUGUUCUGCUGUUUGUGGGAACUGUUACCGGGGACGAUCCUACAGCACAGAUGGAUCGAUACAGAGACAGGACGACUCUCAACCAUGAAGAGCUGAGCAGAGGAAUCGUGACCCUGCUGAUCUCCUCAGUACAACUGUCUGACAGCGGGCUGUACAAAUGCUACAUCCCAAAGCUGAAGGUUGGUUGUACCAUCAAACUCACUGUCGUAGAAGAAGACCAACAGACCACAACUGGACCUCCAGAGGAAGACGUGACUGAGCCAAACAAUGCCAAUGUUGGGAACAGGUUUGCGGCUCGUGCUUGUAUCAUUACUGCUGCUGUUGUUACUCUCUACGUUCUCGUUGUUCUGGUUCUGUGA
rnacentral:lncRNA from 1 species